rnacentral:rRNA from 1 species
UACGGAGGGUGCGAGCGUUGUCCGGAAUCAUUGGGCGUAAAGAGCUCGUAGGCGGUGUGUCGCGUCGGCCGUGAAAACCUGCAGCUUAACUGUGGGCGUGCGGUCGAUACGGGCAUCACUGGAGUUCGGCAGGGGAGACUGGAAUUCCUGGUGUAGCGGUGAAAUGCGCAGAUAUCAGGAGGAACACCGGUGGCGAAGGCGGGUCUCUGGGCCGAUACUGACGCUGAGGAGCGAAAGCGUGGGGAGCGAACAGG